rnacentral:misc_RNA from 1 species
GUGGAAGAGGAUUAAAGUUCCUUGGUUGAAAUCCCUGCUGAAAGGGUCUAGCUUGCUGAAAAUGUUAUUGUUGCCUUUGAUUUUGCAUACGUUGUGGAGGAGGAUAGCUUGGAUUCUAAACUUGGUUGCCUUGGUUGGACCAUGUAAAGUUUGUGGUUCUUCCAUGCUGGUGUACAAGUGUUUGAAUAUGGAUUCCCCAUUUGCUUUUGC